ACCUGGCUGUUCAGUCAGUAGAGCAUGAGACUUUUGAUCUCAGGGUCAUGAGUUUGAACCUCAUGUCAUGUU
rnacentral:tRNA from 1 species